GAUUCCAUCCAUGUUCGAGUCAUCAAAAUCUUUGCUUUUUUCCCUGUGCUUAUGGUCUGCAUGGCUUAAAUGCAUGCGUGUUAUAUAUUUAGACAUGGAAGGCUUCUUCUGGCUAUGUACCCUAUUGCACUUUAGGUGCAUAUAUUUUGACAUUUGACUUCAGAUUGCACAUUAAGAUUGAUGACUUUCAUUGUAUGUGGUGGAGACAAUCAAUGUUGGCAACUCCUGAAGGAGUUAAAAAAUUGUGUACACUAUUGUAGAGUCUAUGAGCACUGUAUUGUGACAUUUUAACUUCAAAUUGCAGGUUGAGAUUGAAGACUUCUAUUAGCCAGUUAAGACUAACUGAAUUUCCUGAAACUAGUAAAUACUAUAUUUACAUUUUGUUUGCCUUUUCUCUUUAUUGUUUGUUUGUAUCAAUCUUUUCCUCAUAAAACUAUAUUGGCAAAGUGUUCCCUGUGAAUUCAUAAAGAGGUACAUCCAGAAGAACCAGCAAAUUACUACUCUUAGCUAUUUGAACAAAUAAUGGCUGGUGCAGUUCAUGAGCUAUCAACACCAUUAUCCAGUAAACAUAUCUGUGGUUGGCCCACUUUUGUGAGAGAAGCUUAUCUGGAUGAAGGGGAUGUCUGUGUGUUUAAGCACAUUGAUAUGGACGGUUUUAUGGUCAUAGUCUCUGUCUCCAGUUAUGCUAGUGAGGACCUCAUUUAGGUCAAUUGAGAUGAACAUUAGAAGCAUCACUUGAGGCUGUAUAUUAAUGAAGCAAUUCAUGCCUUCUUUAUUCAGUUGCGACAAAUCAAUUGAAAAUGCACUUACUUUUGGCUUUGCUUCUCUUUCUUGACCUACUUACAGUCUUAUCAGAGUUCUCUUUCUUCUUUUGUGCAGGUUAGAACAGACAAGUCUAAAUGUCCAGUGAGCCCUCCUAAGCAGCUUUUUCGUGAUUCCAAGUGCCUGAGGCCUCUCAUUGCACUUGAGAAAGCUAGAUAAUUCAAAUUGGAGUAUCCCCUUUUCCAGACAGUGAUGUGGCCAUCUUUUCCUAAGAAAGAAGUGGCGGCUUGGGAAGAAGAGGCAACAUGAAAUGUUCAGCUUAAGCCAUAACUAUUGCAACAGGCCUAGGCUUGGGAUGAUUGAGCUCACUGCAACAGCAUGGCACCACUAGUUGAAUAUUGCUCCCCAGCAAUGACUGGUUUAGUGAGAUCUACUAUUGCAAGCAAGUUCAAACUUGCGAUCAGAAAUGAAGGGAAGGUAGUGCAGCCCUAAACCUCAAAAAUUAGUUCUACUACCUCGGUGGUAUGAAAAAAAGAAAAGAAGAUCACUUUUUUUUGGGGGCCAAGCAAAAGAAAAUCACUCACUUAUUGUGUAUAUGUAUCCAUUUAGGACGCUAGGUGCAGCUUUUCAUGUUUGUUUCGAUGCAUAUUGCAAUGCAAGAUUGGUGACUCGGAUAUUCAGCAGAUUCAUGCAUGUCUCUAUAUUGAUUA